UUAACUUAGCGGUACAAAUUACUGGUACAAAGUUUAGAAUCAAUAUAUUAUUAAGUGAUUGAUAUUAAAUAAUUUAUAUUUGGUAGCUUGCAAUCGAGAGUUCGAAUCUCUCACUCACCGCCA
rnacentral:tRNA from 2 species